GACGAACGCUGGCGGCGUGCCUAACACAUGCAAGUCGAACGAGAAGUUCGGGUCUUGUGGCGUAUGGCUGCGUAACGCGUGGGGAGCUGCACUUGGGUACGGAAUACCUCUCCGAAAGGGAUGCUAAUACCAGAUCGUGUCUUAGGACCAAAGAUUUAUUGCCUUUGGUUGGGCGCUCGUUGGAUUCGGUGGUUGGUAGGGUAAUAGCAUACCAAGGGGAGGAUGCAUAGCUGGUCUGAGAGGAUGAUCAGCCACACUUGGACUGAGACACGGCCCAGACUCCUACGGGAGGCAGCAGAGGGGAACAGUGGACAAUGGGCGGAGGCCUGAUCCAGCACUGCCGGGUAAGUGAUGAAGGCCGUAGGGUAGUAAUGUGCUUUUACCCGUGAAGAUAAUGACGGUACCGGGUGAAUAAGCCCCGGCUAACUACGUG
rnacentral:rRNA from 1 species